rnacentral:lncRNA from 1 species
GUGGGCUCGGGGGUGGGAGACGAGGUCCAAGCGCCGGCGAGACCCCUGCCAGCCCGGGACCUGGGCUCGGAGGCUCCCUUCCGGAUUUCCAAAAUCUGCGGAGGCAGCAUUUGUUCCGCCUCUCCCCUCUAGAGUGUGGAGACAGGAGGACGUCUGUGUAGGGAAGCACGUCGUUGGCAGACUGCUGUUUUGCCGAUGUUUAUUUGUUAUGCCAUUAUGACUGUUAGGAUUUCUCACCUGGAGUGGCUUCCGCCAUAAGCGCCGGGAUCUGGAAGGACGGCACGUUUGACUUCUGUUGUCCCAACCUCACUUGCCAGCCCUUGGCACCGCCCCAGCUUGGAUCCUCAGGGCGCCUCUGUUAUUUUCAUUCAUUUUUUUUGAGGACUCCAGGGUUCAGGUUUCUUAACUCCUGGACCAAAGUUCGCCCCGCUCGUAGCACCCUGUCUCUCAUCCUUAGAGAUUCUGAAGUUUGGACUUGAGCUUUUGGGGCAGAGACUGAAUUGGGCCUUAUGCAACUCUUGCAAUACCGAUGACCUGCAAAGGACAGUAUGGAAGAGAUGAGCAUUAGAGUUUGGAUCCGGAUGGGGCCAGAAAUACCCUGAAUUAAGAGUGGGAAGGGGGGGCCCAUCAAAAUCAUUGAUCUUAAAAAUAAGUAAG